UACAGAGGGUGCGAGCGUUGUUCGGAAUUACUGGGCGUAAAGCGCGCGCAGGCGGAUCCUGUAAGUCUGAAGUGAAAUCUCACUGCUCAACGGUGAGACUGCUCUGGAUACUGCGGAUCUUGAGACCGGUAGAGACUGGUAGAAUUGCAGGUGUAGCGGUGGAAUGCGUAGAGAUCAUGAGGAAGACCAGUGGCGAAGGCGGGUCUCUGGACAGUUCCUGACACUGAGGCACGAAGGCCAGGGGAGCAAACGGG
rnacentral:rRNA from 1 species